rnacentral:tRNA from 1 species
UCUCGGAUAGCUCAAAUGGUAGAGCGGUCGCUAUUUCCUUCACCGGAAAUAGCACAGCGCGGGGGUUCGAGCCCCUCUCCGAGAG